rnacentral:snoRNA from 1 species
GUCUCUUAAGUGAUGAUUUAUACCGGUUAAUGCAUAGUUCAACUGACUUUUGAUUGAAGAUAAAAACAAACCAUUGAUUUUAGUCUUUCGCUCCUAUCUGAUUAGAGAC